CUGCUGAGAAUUUGAUAGAAAGGAUCGAGGAUCUUCUUGUUAAACCAAUCAUUCAUCGUCGACACCGCCAUUUCCUCUCUUCUCUUAACACGAAAAGGAAUCCAAUUCCACCGCUUCUUUCAACUCGAAUUUCAAUAAAAAAUGUCGAAAACGAAUCGAUUUAGGAAUCCUCAAAUAGACAAAUCCAUUUAUUAUUUUUUCGUAUUUAAUUCGUCUUCCUCACACUCCCAGACACGAUCAGAGAUUCCUUCCUUGGAUUCACAAAACUCACCGAAAAAAUAAUUAAAUUGUUUUUCU
rnacentral:misc_RNA from 1 species